GAUGACUCGAGUGUUACAAACAAUAGUUUUUAAGGAAUAAUGUGAAAUAAGUUAAUUUUUAUAGGAUACAAAACUUAAUCAACAUGAUAACUUAAUAACAUUAAGUAGUCCUACCAGACACUAACUUAGAUGAUCCUGGAGCAAAGGCUGUAAUUUGACCUGAACCCAAAUUGGUCUCUAUUUUAAAUAUUGUCUUGAACCAAUAAGUUAAGAGGACUAACCUUUCUGGACGACAUUGCCAUCGACAUCACUGCAGAUGAGGGAGAAAGAGAGACCAGAGUUGUGGACCCUGGAGGCAAUUACCAUACUGCCGUGAUAAUGUUCCUUGGUCUAACCAUAACUUAAGUGAGAACUGAAGCCUACCAGUAAAAUGGGGGCGUUGUAAUUAAUAUCCUCCGACAUUGAAGAAUACAGGGGAGAGGUGUCAGUGGAAGAGGAGAUGGAGAAUGGGGUGAAGUAAAGACUAAGAUUGAAGAGAACUAACUAAUGGUAAGUUUUGCCAUUUACUUAAAUUUAAUACUUAUAAAUCCAGGGCCGUGUCCAUUGCCCCCAAGCCUAUGUCGCAUAACCCUCCUGAAUUACUAGUAUUUAACCAGCAUUUUAACUCGAGAGGUGCCCAAAAAUUUGCUUUUGUUUUUUAGGAAAUGUAGGCUAUAUUUUUUGACACCAUAAUUAUAAUUGUUCUGAAUAUGUCAUAGUUUUUACAUUUGGUAAGUACUGAAACAACAAUAAUUUUAAGACAAAUGGAAAAGCCCCUGUCAACAGAAGCAGUUGAAACAAGUAUAAAAAUUCUCAUACAUCAAUAAGGUAUUUAGUACAAGCGUGGUUCAA